rnacentral:rRNA from 1 species
UACCUGCAGCUCGAGUGGUGGCCACUAUUAUUGGGCCUAAAACGUCCGUAGCCGGUCUUAUAAAUGCCUGGGUAAAUCGUAUGGCUUAACCAUACGAAUUCCGGGUAGACUGUUUGACUUGAGACCGGGAGAAGCUAGAGGUACUCCUUGGGUAGAGGUGAAAUUCUGUAAUCCUAGGGGGACCACCAGUGGCGAAGGCGUCUAGCUAGAACGGGUCUGACGGUGAGGGACGAAGCCCUGGGGCGCAAACGGGAUUAGAUACCCCGGUAGUCCAGGGUGUAAACGCUGCUUGCUUGAUGUUAGUCUGGCUCCGAGCCAGAUUAGUGUCGGAGAGAAGUUGUUAAGCAAGCUGCCUGGGAAGUACGGCCGCAAGACUGAAACUUAAAGGAAUUGGCGGGGGAGCACAGCAACGGGUGGAGCGUGCGGUUU